rnacentral:rRNA from 1 species
UCGGGUAAGUUCCGACCUGCACGAAUGGCGUAACGACUUCCCCGCUGUCUCCAACAUCGACUCAGCGAAAUUGAAUUGCCUGUCAAGAUGCAGGCUUCCCGCGGUUAGACGGAAAGACCCCGUGCACCUUUACUACAGCUUCGCACUGGCUUCAGGCACAGCAUGUGCAGGAUAGGUGGUAGGCUUCGAAGCAGGAACGCCAGUUCCUGUGGAGCCUCCCUUGAGAUACCACCCUUGCUCUGCUUGAAGUCUAACCGCGGCCCGUUAUCCGGGUCCGGGACCCUGCGUGGUGGGUAGUUUGACUGGGGCGGUCGCCUCCUAAAGAGUAACGGAGGCUCGCAAAGGUACCCUCAGCAUGGUUGGUAAUCAUGCGAAGAGCGUAUGAGUAUAAGGGUGCUUGACUGGGAGAUCGACAGAUCGAUCAGGUGCGAAAGCAGGCUUAAGUGAUCCGGUGGUUCCGCAUGGAAGGGCCAUCGCUCAAAGGAUAAAAGGUACUCCGGGGAUAACAGGCUGAUCUCCCCCAAGAGCUCAUAUCGACGGGGAGGUUUGGCACCUCGAUGUCGGCUCGUCACAUCCUGGGGCUGGAGAAGGUCCCAAGGGUUGGGCUGUUCGCCCAUUAAAGUGGCACGCGAGCUGGGUUCAGAACGUCGCAAGACAGUUCGGUCUCUAUCUGUUGUGGGCGUAGGAAUAUUGAAGAGAUCUGUCUCCAGUACGAGAGGACCGGGAUGGACGCACCUCUAGUGUACCUGUUGUGGCGCCAGCUGCAUUGCAGGGUAGCUAUGUGCGGAAUGGAUAAGCGCUGAAAGCAUCUAAGCACGAAGCCAACUCUAAGAUGAGUAUUCCAUGAGGGUCGUAGAAGAUGACUACGUUGAUAGGCUAUAGGUGGAAGUGCAGUAAUGUAUGGAGCCGAGUAGUACUAAUUACCCGA